CGCCGAGCCAAGGAGUACCAAUUUAGCCGGGCACCACCCGUUGUACCGGUGAGCCCUCGGGCAACACCCACAAGGAGAGGACUACUGCACUUGUAUGCUUGGCUGCAGAAGGAUUGGGUGCCUUGCUGACCAACACUGAGGUCCCAAAGAUGCGCAGAGUCAAGGAGUAUCCAUCUCACCCGGAAACCAGCUGCUGUAUUGGUGAGCCCUCGAGCAGCAACCAGAAGCACGGGACUCUUGCACUUUUAUGUCUGGCUGCACCCGAGCUUCGGUGCCUUUCUGACGAACACUGAGAUCCCAAAGGAUGCGCAGAGCCAAGGAGUAUCCAUAUCACCCGGCCACCUCGCGCUGUAUUGGUGAGCCCUCGGGCCGUAUCCACAAGGAGAGGAAUACUGCACUUGUAUGCUUGGCUGCAGAAGGAUUGGGUGCCUUGCUAACCGACACUGAGGCCCCAAAGAUGCGCAGACUCGAGGAGUAUCCAUCUCACCCGGGCACCUCCCGCAGUAUAGGUGAGCCCUCGAGCAGCUGCAAGAAGCACGAGACUCCUGCACUUCUACGAGUGGCUGCAGCAAGGAUUGGGUGCCUUGCUGACCAACACUGAGGUCCCAAAGGUUGC
rnacentral:misc_RNA from 1 species